ensembl:piRNA 21ur-8356 ncRNA
UUCAUUUCGAUCAUCAUUUAA